rnacentral:Y_RNA from 1 species
GGCUGAUCCAAGUACAGUGGUGUUUACAACUAAUUGAUCACAGACAGUUACCAAUUCCUUUGUUCCUUCUCUACUCCCACUGCUCCACUUGACUAGUAAAA